CGAGCGCGCGCAGCCCGCGGGCCCCCCCCCUCCCGGACCGCUACCCAGGUUCUACUCUCUCAUCAUUUCCCUGGCCUGUACUUCCUCUCGAGAAGUCGGUCCGAGUCGAGGCUAGUCCGAGUCCAUGGCCGAUUGAAGUAACGAAUCGCGAUCGGAGACGGAGGCAUAGAUGUAGUGUUCUGUAUAAAGGGAGGGCCGAAGAGAACGAUUGAUUCGAAGUUCGUUCUGGAUCUGGGUCUAAUCUAAUUGAACAACUAUUCUGGUUUCCAGAUCCGAUUGGGGAGAAAGGCCCGGCCUUUUUCACUAUUACGCCGGCGGAAACUCGGCGGCGCGAUGGCAGACUCCGGGCGGAAGCGUCAAUGUGGUGCUUUUGCCACUUCCGUAGCCUGCAAGCGCCGGGCGCAUGGCCGGGACUGGACGUCUCUCCCCUCGGACAUUACCAACGUCAUCGCCGAGCGGCUGCUGGCGGAGGACGUGGUUGACUACAUGAGCCUACGUUCCGUGUGCGCGCCUUGGCGCGCCUCGACGGCUAGCCCGCGCGACCCCACGCUACGGGACGUUCGCUUCCGCCCGCGCGGUUGGGUUGCUCUCUGCGACGGUGAUGGCGUCCGCCCGGCCGACGCCUGCCAGGUCAACUUCUUCCACACGUCCACCAGCAGGCGCCUCCGCGUUCGCCUGCCAGAGCUACACGACCACAGGAUCGUCGGAUUCACGGACGGCCUCCUCAUCCUGCUCAACAAAAGCACCACCGCCGUCCGUGUCCUGCACCCGUUCACUCGCGUCUUCCUCGACCUCCCUCCGCUUGCCCCCGUUUUUCAUCUCCUGGUGAAGGACAUCUGGUCAAGAGCAUGGAUGGAAGCCGCGGUUUGCUGGUCUUGCACAUCCAUUGCGGUUGUUGCCUGGUUCCCCAAUGUUCCGGUGGUGGUCCAUGCGGAGCCGACUCGUCCACGCUGGUGUGUUAUCUACCGUGGCCUUCAGCUCUGGACCGCCUUACCAUUCCAAGGCAGGCUAUUCGGCAUUAGAAAAGAUACCAGGCAGAUCAUUCAGCUGUACCCUCACCUGCCAUAUCCCGUGGUUGCUUGCAUCCCAAACAGUUUUGGCCGUCCCAACAUGUGUGAUUACUAUCUCGUGGACUUUGGGGGACGCAUGCUGCUCGCUGUUCAGCAUCGCAUCAUCGACCAGUGCUUGGAAGGGUGGCAGCCCUUCGCCUUCGCCUUCUUCUUGGUUAAUGUACACCAGAGAGAGCUUGUUCCAGUGGACAGUCUUGGUGAUAGAGCAAUCUUCCUUAACAAAGAUCGUUGCCUGUGUGUUUCGGCCAAGGACCUCCCAUCCAUCAGUGGCAAUUCUGUUUACUUCUCCCUGCACACAACUGACCCUGUUGCGGUGCAUUCACUAAGCAAGCGAACGUGUGAGCGGACAUCGACAUUCUCCCUCAUUCACAACUUCAAGGAGAGGAUUCGGCCCUCUGUAAGGCCUUUCACCCUGGCUGAUCAUCUGCUGUCGUAUUGCCACCAUGUUCAGUGGUCAAAAGGAUUUAUGUUUCACGAGUACUUUAGCUACCUGCAUCUUGGAAGAAGAUGGUGAGGAAACUGAAAUCACAAGAUCAGGAAAUCCAAGUCCCAUUCAUGAUUAGGGAGAAAACAGAGGGAAGAUUGAGGUCCAGCGAUAUGAAGAAUAGUCCCCCUUGUUCAUUUUUUCUUAGCAGCACGGCAGCGUCUCCGUCGAGCAACACUCCCAAUCGAGCACCACUCCCAAUCGAGCACCAGCAAGCGGCAUGCCCACGCUGGCCACAAAUGCAACACCCAGGAAGACGAACACUUGGUUGCACGCGACAUGCUACAAGAUGUUCUCGUACGCAUCCUCCUCGCCUCGGACCUCGGCUCGUCUCCUCGAACUCGGCCGUACGAGAACAGCAGGACGGUCCUGGACGGAGGCAGCCGAAUCGGCACAACGCAAGGGGCGGUGCUGAUGGUCACCUCCAACGCCGGCGCCCCUGGCUCGGGAUAGGCAGAGCACGAGAGGAGCAGCUGAACAUGACAUGGUAGGGGUUGCCAUCCAUGGUGGCACCGCCGUGAGGGCACCUCCGCCCGCGCCCGCCACCGCCAGAGGCAGGGAAGGAGAAGCCGGCGGCGCCGGAGACUGGGGAGAAGAAGAACGGGAGCUCGCCGACGGGAUGGCAUCUCUCAGCGCCGGCGCUGCCGCGAGGCUUGCGGUCUUCCGGACGGUGGGGUUGCGGGCGCGGUGGCUCUUGCCCGCCGGCCAUGGCGCGCGAGAGAAAGUGCCAGCGCGAGAGGGGAGACAGUUAGCAAUGAUGUAAAAAGUUUGAGUGCAAAGGUAACAGAUGUGGAAACUGAAGUUCAACAAAUCCAAUCUCUUUACUCCUCGAUGUCAUCAAUGAUUAAUCAACUAAAUGUAUCAGUCAAUGUAUGUAUAGAGCACACUUGUUUUUCUUUGAGUCACUAGCUGUUUACUGGCUAAAGUCUUAACUGUUUUUCUCUUCGUGCAGGCUUUGUUGUCCCGCAUAUCCCAAUCACCCUUUGCCGACGUUGAUAAUACCAGUAAUCAAUAAAUUAGGUUUCUUAAUUCAGAACCCAAUCUUCAAAAUUAUAUGCUGGUUAUUUAUGUCCACACACUAUCCACCUAUGUACAUAGGUUUUUAGCACGUAAUUUGGAAUUCGUUUGGCCAUGAUUACAUCUUAUUGGUGGGUACCGUUGACUUUCCAGGAAUACAUUUAUUAUUGACUGCUUGUUAGUAGUAAUCCUGCAUAUCACUUUUUUUAAAUGAUCCUACAUAUCACUUCUAUCGUCCACUUCUAUCACAUCACUCAAAUGAUGUUUGACUACACCAAAACCAUAUAACCCUAAUACGUGCUAUGCUAUUAUUGUUUAAUGCAGAUCAUUGGAUGACAUAACACAAGUCACGUAGGCUGAUACUAUACCUGAACAAUCGGGAGCAAGUUGUAGAUACGAGCUAGAGCUGCCGUAGCCGAGUUAUCUUAUUUUUUCUCUGACAAGACUGAAUUGGUGCUUUUGCAUAUGCAACCGGAUCGUGAGAGUUUUAGAUGCAAAAACUCACCCCUAAAACAGGCAUACUAGUUUUUUUGAAAAAAAAGGCAUACGCAACCUGAUUCUGAGAGUUUAGAAGGAAGGGUUCACAUCUGAAACAAUUGGAUAGGAUUCACUUUUGGUAGUAAAGUGUUCAGAUAAUAUGUUCAUUCGAUAUGGAUAUUUCUCUGUGAUUGUUUUUUAUUCAUUUGUUUCUAGCUCGUGUACUUGCAAAAGCUUAUUAGUCAGUAGCUCGCAUCACAUACUGUGGCAAAUGCCCGGUGGCUCUUGCAAAUGACUCUCAGGAUCAGGUUGCGUAUACCUUUUUUUUAAACUAGUAUGCCUGUUUCAGAGGUGAGUUUGUGCAUCUAAAACUCUCGCGAUCCGGUUGCAUAUGCAAAAGCACCAAUUCAGUCUUGUCAGAGAAAAAAUGAGAUAACUCAGCUACGGCAGCUCUAGCUCCUAUCUACAACUUGCUCCUGAUUGUUCGGGUGCAGUACCAGCCUGCGUGACUUGUGUUAUGUCAUCUAAUGAUCUGCAUUAAACAAUAAUAGCAUAGCACGUAUUAGGGUUAUAUGACUUUGAUGUAGUCAAACAUCAUUUGAGUGAUAUGACAGAAGUGGACGAUAGAAGUGAUAUGCAGGAUCAUUUAAAAAAAUGAUAUGCAGGAUUACUACUAACAAGCAGUCAAUAAUAAAUAUAUUCCUGGAAAGUCAGCGGUACCCACCAAUAAGAUGUAAUCAUGGUCAAAGAUGUAAUCAUGGUCAAAGGAAUUCCAAAUUACGUGCUAAAAACCUACGUACAUGGGUGGAUAGUGUGUGAACAUAAAUAACCAGCAUAUAAUUUUGAAGAUUGGGUUCUGAAUUAAGAAACCGGAGUUAUUGAUUACUGGUAUUGUCAACGUCGGCGGAGGGUGGUUGGGAUAUGCGGGACAACAAAGCAUGCAUGAAGAGAAAAACAGUUAAGACUUUAGCCAGUAAACAGUUAGUGACUCUAAAAAAACAAGUAUGCUCCACACAUAUAUUAAUUGAUACAUUUAGUUGAUUAAUCAUUGAUGACAUCGAGGAGUAAAGAGCUUGGGUUUGUUAAACUCUUGUUUCCACAUCUGUUACCUUUGCACUCAAACUUUUUACAUCAUUGCUAACUGUCUCCUGCAAAUGUCAAGAGUUUCAAUGAUUAAUAAAUGUUAAGCAAAAAAGGGUGGUUGGGAUAUGCGGGACAACAAAGCCUGCAUGAAGAGAAAAACAGUUAAGACAUUAGCUAGUAAAUAGCUAGUGAUUCUAAAAAAAAAGUAUGCUCCACACAUACAUUGACUGAUACAUUUAGUUGAUUAAUCAUUGAUGACAUCGAGGAGCAAAGAGCUUGGGUUUGUUGAACUCCAA